rnacentral:ncRNA from 2 species
UGCUUAUCAAGAUUGGUGGAGGGACUGGCCCUACGAAACCAGGCAAGGGUUUUAUAUAAAACCGAGUGCUAAUUCCAGCAGACAAUAGUCUGAGAGAUAAGUG